GAUUCAAACUCGUACCUUUUGCAUCAUGAUUUAGCUAGAAAACCUCAAGCAAAGAGCACUUUAGUUUGACCCCCCGAAACUACGUGAGCUACUCCAAGACAGCCUAACAACUAGGGCAAACCCGUCUCUGUGGCAAAAGAGUGGGAAGAUCUUUGAGUAGAGGUGACAGACCUAUCGAACCUAGUUAUAGCUGGUUGCCUGAGAAAUGAAUAGAAGUUCAGCCUCUCGGAUUCUCCCCUCACCCCACCUCCCUCCGCCCGACAAUUAAAAGAAACCGAAAGAGUUAGUCAAAGGGGGUACAGCCCCUUUGACACAAGAUACAACUUUUCCAGGAGGGUAAAGAUCACAAUUCAACACCAAGGUAAAAUGUUUAGGUGGGCCUAAAAGCAGCCACCCCAUAGAAUGCGUUAAAGCUCAAACAUAACCACCACCCCCAAUCCUGAUAAUCUUAUCUUAACCCCCUAACCCUACCAGGCCGUUCCAUGCAAACAUGGAAGCGACCAUGCUAAUAUGAGUAAUAAGAGAAUAGUCAUCUCUCUCCUUGCAC
rnacentral:rRNA from 1 species